AUCAACAAUUUUUGCUCAUUUUUUAACUUAGACAAAAAUUUCAGCUUCUAGGUUUUUCUCUCUUGUUCCCUCUUGGCUAUGAAGUUACCCUAUAUUCCCACAAGGGUUCUUGGAAUUGACCUUCCUCCUAAGAUAAAGGGAUUAAGCUACUGAAGAGAUACAAAUUAAGAGGCUAAACUAACAAGGAAAUCAAGAUAAGUAAUCUAAAAGGCAGGAAGUCAAGUCGGGUUAGUUUCAGAGGUCUAUAACCAGGAAUAGGUAAGUUCAUACACCUCAUUAGUAGGAGCACAGCUAUUCGGUGACUAUUGGUGAGCUCCAGGUUGAUUCGAGGCUUUUCGAGUCUGUUCCAUAUAAUUUGGUAUUAUGUAGAAGGUUAAGAGCAGGGCGGGGGUUUAUCCCGACCCUAACUAAGUAUAUGUUUCUUUUAGAGGCUUUGUAGACUAAUGCAAAGUUAUGGUAGUGUUUGUCUUUAGACGUAGUGGCCCCAACAGCCUAGUGUUGUAUAUGUAAUUUUAUGCAUGCUUAUGUAAUUAUUUUCAUCGAUACAUAAUAUCAUGUUGGUUAGAACCUU